CUGCUUACCUGGCUGGGGAGAUACCAUGAUCAUGAAGGUGAUUUUCCCUGGGUGAGGUUCAUCUAUUGUACUCCGGGGGUGCUGGCCCCUGCAAUUUCCUCAAAUGAAGGAAACUCGAUUGCAUAAUUGUGGUUGUGAUUCCUAGUGAUUGGUGUUU